rnacentral:rRNA from 1 species
GUCCUAUUGUAUUAUUUAAUAGGUCUGGCCUGCCCAGUGAUAAUUUCAACGGCCGCGGUAUAUUGACCGUGCAAAGGUAGCAUAAUCAUUAGUCUUUUAAUAGGAGGCUGGAAUGAAAGGUUUAACGAGAAAUUGACUGUCUCAAUUACAAUCUUGAAUUUAUCUUUUGAGUCAAAAGACUUAAAUAUAAUUGGUGGACGAGAAGACCCUAUAGAGCUUGACAAUUAUUUUUUUAUAUUUACUUAGACUGAAAUUAUUUAUUUAUAUUAAAAAGAUUGUUUUGUUGGGGUGACAAUAAAUAUAUAUUUAACUUUUAUCAUAAUAUUAACAUUAAUUUAUGACUUUUGGAUCCAAAAAUUUUGAUCAUUAGAUUAAGUUACC